rnacentral:rRNA from 1 species
GACGAACGCUGGCGGCGUGCUUAACACAUGCAAGUCGAACGGAAAGGCCCUGCUUUUGUGGGGUGCUCGAGUGGCGAAAGGGUGAGUAACACGUGAGUAACCUGCCCUUGACUUUGGGAUAACUUCAGGAAACUGGGGCUAAUACCGGAUAGGAGCUCCUGCUGCAUGGUGGGGGUUGGAAAGUUUCGGCGGUUGGGGAUUGACUCGCGGCUUAUCAGCUUGUUGGUGGGGUAGUGGCUUACCAAGGCUUUGACGGGUAGCCGGCCUGAGAGGGUGACCGGCCACAUUGGGACUGAGAUACGGCCCAGACUCCUACGGGAGGCAGCAGUGGGGAAUAUUGCACAAUGGGCGGAAGCCUGAUGCAGCAACGCCGCGUGCGGGAUGACGGCCUUCGGGUUGUAAACCGCUUUCGCCUGUGACGAAGCGUGAGUGACGGUAAUGGGUAAAGAAGCACCGGCUAACUACGUG